GAAAUUGGAGUUUUUAAUAUUUGCACUUAUCCCUGUUUCUCCAAGGCCGUGGUUUCUCUGCCAGUUCCAACUUCCACGGAGUACUCAAACUAAGGAGUAACUGUUCAUGGCCAUUGCCAACAUGGAUGCUUCCCUUCUUCACAAUCUCAAAUGUUCAUUGAUCCCUACCACCGCCUUCGCCCCAACAGACCAGAUCCCACCAAUAUCCCUCCCCUUGCGUCCCAGCCGCAGAAGACCGAGCACGAGAGUUUCCUGCGCCUCAUCCCCCUUGCUUACUACUGCUGCAGUUGACACUGACAGGAGAAGGUUUAUCUACUUCAUUCUCUCUUCAGCUUCUGGACUGCUGCUCAGUGAUGGAGCUGGAGCUGUUUCAACAAGCAGAAGGGCGCUUAGAGGUGCAAAGAUACCUGAAAGUGAAUAUACAACUCUUCCGAAUGGUUUGAAGUACUACGACCUAAAGGUUGGAGGUGGGCCUCAAGCUGUAAAGGGCUCACGAGUUGCGGUUCAUUAUGUUGCUAAGUGGAAGGGAAUAACCUUUAUGACUAGCAGGCAAGGGCUUGGUGUUGGUGGUGGAACACCUUAUGGAUUUGAUGUGGGUCAGUCGGAGAAAGGAAAUGUACUCAAGGGAUUAGAUUUAGGAGUUGUGGGCAUGCGAGCUGGGGGUCAGAGAUUGCUGAUUGUUCCUCCUGAGCUGGCUUAUGGAAGCAAAGGUGUCCAAGAGAUUCCUCCCAAUGCAACGCUUGAGUUGGAUGUGGAGCUACUCACUGUCAAACAGAGUCCAUUUGGGUAUGCAGUUAAGAUCAUCGAAGGCUAAGUCAUGAGCAAGACGACUUGUUUCUUUCUGGAUUGAUACUUUUGGCAGCCUUAGCUGCAUUCAACAUUAUCCUACAUUCUGUGUUGCCACAAAAAGCUGAAAAAUGGCUUGCUUGCCAUACUCUUACGAAAUUCAUGUUGAUCCAUCUUAGCAUCCUUUAUUGGCCUCAUUGUGGAAGAAAUGACGACCCACUGUAUAGACAUAAAUCCUAACAUGGCUGUGCUGUAUCAUUCUUGUUAUGUCUAGGUUAUUAUUGUUGGAAUCAUUUGUUUGAAGAAUUGGUGACAAUCUGUAGCCCUUCUACACCAUGCCACCAAAAAGGAGGUGUCCGCUACUUUUUUGGUUUGGACCACUUUGGUUUGUACCUUAGAUCAUGUCUACGUCAAAAAUCUUGUGUUAGUAACUGGUAAAUUAUUGUAUUUAACCUUGGAUA